ACGCUCGACACCUACGGGAGCAGCAGUCGGGAAUAUUGCGCAAUGGAGGAAACUCUGACGCAGUGACGCCGCGUGCAGGAAGAAGGUUUUCGGAUUGUAAACUGCUUUAGACAGGGAAGAAAGAAAUGACAGUACCUGUAGAAUAAGCUCCGGCUAACUACGUGCCAGCAGCCGCGGUAAUCUGAGCGGGCUGGCAAGGC
rnacentral:rRNA from 1 species